AUUGAACGCUGGCGGCAGGCCUAACACAUGCAAGUCGAGCGAGCGGCGGACGGGUGAGUAAUGUAUGGGGAUCUGCCUGAUGGAGGGGGAUAACUACUGGAAACGGUAGCUAAUACCGCAUACCACCAGAUGACACCACAUGGGAUUAGCUAGUAGGUGAGGUAACGGCUUACCUAGGCGACGAUCCCUAGCUGGUCUGAGAGGAUGACCAGCCACACUGGGACUGAGACACGGCCCAGACUCCUACGGGAGGCAGCAGUGGGGAAUAUUGCGCAAUGGGCGCAAGCCUGAUGCAGCCAUGCCGCGUGUAUGAAGAAGGCCUUCGGGUUGUAAAGUACUUUCAGUCGGGAGGCGUUACCGACAGAAGAAGCACCGGCUAACUCCGUGCCAGCCGCCGCGGUAAUAC
rnacentral:rRNA from 1 species